AGAGUGAACGCUGGCGGCAGGCCUAACACAUGCAAGUCGAACGGCAGCACGAGAGAGCUUGCUCUCUUGGUGGCGAGUGGCGGACGGGUGAGGAAUACGUCGGAAUCUGCCUUUUUGUGGGGGAUAACGUAGGGAAACUUACGCUAAUACCGCAUACGACCUACGGGUGAAAGCGGAGGACCUUCGGGCUUCGCGCAGAAAGAUGAGCCGACGUCGGAUUAGCUAGUUGGAGGGGUAAUGGCCCACCAAGGCGACGAUCCGUAGCUGGUCUGAGAGGAUGAUCAGCCACACUGGGACUGAGACACGGCCCAGACUCCUACGGGAGGCAGCAGUGGGGAAUAGUUGGACAAGUGGGGCGCAAAGCCUGAUCCAGCCAUGCCGCGUGUGUAGAAGAAGGCCUUGGGUUGUAAAGCUACGUUUUUGAACGGAAGAAAAGCAAUCGAAUUAA
rnacentral:rRNA from 1 species